rnacentral:rRNA from 1 species
UACGAAGGGGGCUAGCGUUGUUCGGAAUCACUGGGCGUAAAGGGCGCGUAGGCGGCUUUGUAAGUCGGGGGUGAAAGCCUGUGGCUCAACCACAGAAUUGCCUUCGAUACUGCAUGGCUUGAGACCGGAAGAGGUUAGUGGAACUGCGAGUGUAGAGGUGAAAUUCGUAGAUAUUCGCAAGAACACCAGUGGCGGAAGGCGGCUGACUGGUCCGGUUCUGGACGCUGAGGCGGCGAAAGCGUGGGGAGCAAACAGG